GAACUCCAUCAGGAGUGCCCCGCUUCGAGAUCAUGUCAAGGGAAGGGGAUAACAGGAAGGCAAAAGUGAAAAUUCAUACGUGUCUCGCUCUGGUUGCCGAUAGCUGGAAUAAGGCACUGCUCUGCUGUGAGCGGCGGGGGGACCGGCAAGGCCGGUCAAGACCGUUUCCCCGUGGCACCUUCAGGAGAGUAGUCGCGGGUCGUCUCGGUGUAAUUGCCUGACGGAGCCGCAUAUUUCUCGAUGCGUUUUCUGUGGAAGCAGGAGAACUUACAUUUGUCAGCUAUUUCAGGGAGGAUGUUUCCUGGGUUGUGCUGGCGAGGGGCAAGACCGCCGUGCGGUCCUUCGGGGCAAAAGCGGUUUGGCGAUAGAACAACUCCUUUUCGUGUUCCUUCGCUUUGUAGAAUGAGAACGUACAUCGCUUAUAGUGGUCAGUGUUUCACUCCCGCCCACCUUUUUACAAACGAGGGAAAAUGAGGGCGGGAAUCAGCGGCGGACAACUAUGCGUGGAUCUGUAUGGGGAGGAUGCUCGUUGGAACUGUGAAGGAUGCGUACGCACAUCGCGACGAAGGAGACUCCCGGGACGGGCAGACGUAACUUACCAAGGCUCUUCUCUGGGACAACGCAGGUAUUCUCCAAGCCGAGCGUCACUCGAGAGGAGCCUUCCCACUCUACCGUCCAAAAGAACGCAGCCCGCCUGCGAGUAGAUUGGAGGAACGCUAUAGAAGCGCCUCCGCAAUCAUUUACGGAGAAAAGAAGGAGAGUUCCUUCCGAUUCUGUGCUGUUUCACCAGGUAGUACAAUAGUGUUUGGUCUACGCUUCAGAGACCCCUCGAACUGCUGGUGGAACCAACUGUGCCUCCGGAUGCCUCGCUCGAUUUUGAGGGUAAAGACAUAGAAAAAGUGGGCGUAACAAAAGGAUGCGGGAAAAGAAUUCGCGGAGACGACGAAGCAGAAACGAACAGCGAUCGUCCACGACGCCGGCUUAACGCCUUGAUUUUCGAUGGACUAUGAACGAGUAGAUCCCGCGUGAGAAACUGGCAGCUCGUUUGGUAUCGUAGGCUACGGCGAACAGUCUUGAGAAAUUUUUGUUUGCUCAUAGCCCUCAAUCAAGCAUCAAUAUGGAAUCCAGGUAGUGAAGCUGUGCCCUCCUUCACUGCAUACGUGACAGGAAACCACGGCCCAAAAAAAUCGCUGAGUUGUCAAUUUUUCAUCGACCUACCUGCAGCCGUCCCCUCAUAUGUUUUGCGAGUUCUGCACCACUGUUGCCAAGACUUUUCCCGCCGUAUUUUCAGGGCAUGAUCCUUGACAAUACCGAAGAGAUGCUUGUUCAAUGUCACCAUAUAUAGAUUAUAGAGAAUGUUAAAACGAGGGACAGAGAUCCGUUUUAUGCCACUGAUCGGAGAUCGACUCAGGCCCACGAGGGCGUGACGACCUGUAUUGACACGAGAAGACCCAUACCAACUAAGCAGUACAGGCCGAUCCCGUACUUUCUCUCCUACGAAUAGAGUUUCAAAUUUUUGAGAAAAGAGUGAACCUUCGACCGCGACAUAGGCUGUAUCGCCACGCAGGUUGGGAUCCCUUCGGGCUGUUCGAUCCACAGUUUGUGGCGAAGAUCUUUUGCGUCGAGAGCCUCGCUGACCUUUCUAAGCUCCUCUUCGCCGUGGACCUCCAGAACGACUUUCCGCAUGCUGUCACCUUCUGCAAGGUACGCCUGUACGGCUGGGUCAGAAUACGUCGAAGCCACUAUGCUAAUGCUGCGCGCAACAUUAGAGACAGGAUUUCGAGAUGUAACCAAUGAACAAAAAAGGCGUCCACCACGCAGACGCAGACACAAAAGAGGUUUUCCCCCUUCCAAUUUUCUGUCCGUGCGCACGUCAAGCAGGACUUAUGUGGCUACGGUUCGCGACUACGGCGUGUAAGAGGGAUGCGAAUAGUGUUUGGGGGAGGAAGCCGGUGGACUCCGUGUGAUGCCGCUUACCAAGCAUGACAUGCCUGAGCAAUGACUGCUCCUGCGGGCCAUCCCAGGAGAGUCUGCAGGUCUUUCCGGAGCACAACAUACUGAACAAUCGGGUCUGGGCGGCCUGUUUUUCUCUUCUCUUUCGCUCCUUCGGCUUUCGCAUUUUCCUCUGUUACACCGCUGAUGCCCGUUCGUUUCGCGCUGUGGUCCGUCUGCUGGUUCUGGGCCCUGGAACUCUGUUUCUCGAGUGCGCUACCGGGUGCCUCACUCGAAAGGGGACAGAGCUUCCCGUCCGAAGUGUCCAUUCUGGAACGCCUUCUGAGGAACACAGCGAACUGCCGUGCUUCUGUGACUGUUUCCACUGUUUCAACUGAACCGGCAGGCGGUCUGAUGGUACGCGGAUGCUUAGGAUGGCCCACGGGGAGUGACGAAGGCAACACGGAGGUCUGAGGCGGGUGUGACGGCAUGUGACAGUACACGAAGAGCCUGUUCCAGACUACCCGUUUCGUCGACAACCCGAAACUACUCGAGAGGUGAAACGGAAAAG
rnacentral:lncRNA from 1 species